rnacentral:rRNA from 1 species
GCGUGCGUCCUAUUAGCUAGUUGGUGAGGCAAUGGCUCACCAAGGCUACGAUGGGUAGGGGUUCUUAGUGGAAGAUCCCCCACACUGGCACUGAGAUACGGGCCAGACUCCUACGGGAGGCAGCAGUAGGGAAUAUUGGUCAAUGGGCGAAAGCCUGAACCAGCCAUGCCGCGUGCAGGAUGACAGCUCUCUGAGUUGUAAACUGCUUUUGUACAGGAGCAAAACAAUCCCUGCGGGGGUUCUUGAGAGUACUGUAAGAAUAAGCACCGGCUAAUUCCGUGCCAGCAGCCGCGGUAAUACGGAAGGUGCAAGCGUUAUCCGGUUUUAUUGGGUUUAAAGGGUGCGUAGGCGGCUUAUUAAGUCAGUUGUGAAAUCCUAGUGCUUAACGCUAGAACUGCAAUUGAUACUAUUAGGCUUGAGUUA